UUACAAAGAAUUACUGGUAUCCCUGGUAGCAUCUGUGUUCAUGGGAUUCGGAGUCGUGUUCUUAUUAUUGUGGGUUGGCAUUUAUGUUUAGCGAAGAAGAUCAUAGAGACUGUAAGAGGAACAUUCAGAAAACUUCAACGCAAUUCAUCUAGUUGUCAUUUUACAUAUGUAAUAUUAAUAUAUAUACUUUUGUUAAUAAAAUGUUUAGUGUCGAAA